GGAGGCCAAAUGCAAAUAGCUGGAAUGCCUUUGUCUAAGGAACACCGGCCUGCAGUCACCAAGGUCAAAUGUUCAGCUCUUGGGCACAAAGGGCCCAGGCACUGGGUCUUCGCAGAGGGCAUGCUGGGGCGAAACAGGCCUUGUGUCAGUGGAGGAGAGAAGCAGCUCGCUCCCGUGGGUGCCGAGCACAGCAUCGUCAUUUCUGAGGCCUCAGCGCAGUAAGCAUUUGGGGAAAAGCAGGCCAUGUGAUGUGGGGGAACCUGGGCCAUGUGCAGAGGCCACAUGUAGGUGUUUUGGCCAAUAGACCAGCAUCAAUCGCCAGACAUCUGGGUGAGGAAGGCUUUGAUCUCCAGCUGCAGACACCAUCUGACUACAACUGCGUGAGAAAUCCUCAAAGAGAACUGCCUCCCUGAGCCCGCCAAACCCCCAAACUGAAAGACAUGAUGGCGAUGAUGAUGAUGACGAUGAUGUUAAUGAUAAAAA